rnacentral:ncRNA from 1 species
AGGUAGACCACCUGGUUGAUAGGCGCGGUGUGGAAGUGCAGCAAUGCAUUGAGCUAACGCGUACUAAUGAUCCGUGCGGCUUGACCAU